rfam:Alligator_sinensis, whole genome shotgun sequence
GCCCUGGUGGUGUAGUGGUGAGCAUCGCUGCCUUCCAAGCAGCAGGUCUGGCUUCGAUUCCCAGCCAGCGCA